ACAAGGAGAAGGCAAAGGAGAAAGAGAAGGAAGUCGCCCCUGGAGACCAAACUCCUAAGGUGAGAGGUGUGGCCAUGAGUAACUGGACAAGGCCGUGGAUGAUGGCCGUGUGAGUCUGGCCGGUUUGGAUCGAUUGGCCACUCCUUACUCUGACUUCUUCUACUCUGUUUUCUUCAUAUAUAUUGUACUAUCGAUUGUUUUAUGAUAUUAC
rnacentral:lncRNA from 1 species